CUUGAGGAGAAACAUGCUUUCUCAAUAGUUCUAAUGAAGGAAAAGAAAAUGGGGGUGAGUCUGAAUACAUUGUAUUUACUUGCAGUAUGAUCCCGAUGAAAAAUCUUUCUAAUGGUCAAAUGAUGAUAAGGAAAAAAAGGCAGAGAUUGGGCUGUGAGCGUCUCCCAGCUGUGACUUCCCCUUGCUGCUGGGCACAGAGGAAAUCCAUCAGGUGGCCAGGUCCAUCUGCACAUGUAUACAUUCAAUUCCUCAUUGCACUGAAGAAAGCAACUCGCAACGUUAACUCCAUUAACAUUAUGACAUCUUAAUGGUUUAGUUUCCUGCUAUCCAUGCUGAAGCUGUGGAUCACAGAGGUGGCAGUGCUGCGUGACUGCUGUGUUCACAGAAACAUGCACCUAUAAAGUGAAUUUGUUUACAAACUGAGGAGAUAAGACUACACAGACACCACAAAGUGAAUACGGCCAUAUGUUUCAUUACCAGCCCAGUGCCAGGAUGAAGACCAUCCAUUAGCUUUUUUCUCCUUUAGGAAGUGGUGAAUCUGAGUAAGGGUUAGAAGUGAAAAAAUGGAUCAAAAGAAUAGCCCAAGGCCUGGCUAGUUGCUUUGUUUGGAGCAAAUGUGUUGGUAUGACCUGGGAAGAACUGAAUAUCUUCCUGUCUGUGCGUGCAGUGCAACUCAGGCUUACCCAAGCAGGGUAGUGAUGGUGGUAACAACAAUAUUUCUUUAAAGGCCAUCAAGGUUAGACUGUAACAGCUCUGGACUUCAAGUAUGACAACCAUAGUGAGCAUUCCAAAUAAUCACUAAUAAAAUACGCCAAGAGUGAAAACUGCA
ensembl:lncRNA